rnacentral:rRNA from 1 species
CGAAUGGGGCAAGCGUUGUUCGGAAUCACUGGGCUUAAAGCGUACGCAGGCGGCCAUGCAAGUCAGAAGUGAAAUCCCUGGGCUUAACCCAGGAAUUGCUUUUGAAACUGCACGGCUAGAAUCCGGGAGAGGUUGGCGGAAUUCCGAGUGUAGCAGUGAAAUGCGCAGAUAUUCGGAGGAACACCAGUGGCGAAGGCGGCCAACUGGACCGGCAUUGACGCUCAUGUACGAAAGCGUGGGUAGCAAACAGGAUUAGAUACCCUGGUAGUCCACGCUGUGAACGAUGUGUGCUAGUUGUUGGAACCGUCAGGUUUCGGCGACGCAGGGAAACCUUUAAGCACACCGCCUGGGGAGUACGGUCGCAAGAUUA